rnacentral:misc_RNA from 1 species
GCGGCAGAAACUGAAUACCCAGAGAGGCAAAUGGAGAAAGCAACAGCGAUCACAACCCAAAACCCAAAUCUGAAACGAGUCCCCAUUCUUGAAUUUUGAUGAAUAGAAUGAUGUUUUCGAUUCAUCAGAACUGUUUAGACAUUCAAGAAAAUCCUACAAUGAAGAUUGAAACAUUCCUAGUUAGAAUUCUUGAACUGCUGAUCAAGAUUUUG